GGAGAAGUGUCUGAGUGGUCUAAAGAGCUUGAUUGCUAAUCAAGUGUAUUGAAUAAAUACCAAGGGUUCAAAUCCCUUCUUUUCCU
rnacentral:tRNA from 1 species